GAUGAACGCUGGCGGCGUGCUUAACACAUGCAAGUCGAACGAUGAAGCCCAGCUUGCUGGGUGGAUUAGUGGCGAACGGGUGAGUAACACGUGAGUAACCUGCCCUUGACUCUGGGAUAAGCCUGGGAAACUGGGUCUAAUACUGGAUAUGACUUCUCACCGCAUGGUGGGGGGUGGAAAGAUUUAUUGGUCUUGGAUGGACUCGCGGCCUAUCAGCUUGUUGGUGAGGUAAUGGCUCACCAAGGCGACGACGGGUAGCCGGCCUGAGAGGGUGACCGGCCACACUGGGACUGAGACACGGCCCAGACUCCUACGGGAGGCAGCAGUGGGGAAUAUUGCACAAUGGGCGCAAGCCUGAUGCAGCGACGCCGCGUGAGGGAUGACGGCCUUCGGGUUGUAAACCUCUUUCAGUAGGGAAGAAAGCGAAAGUGACGGUACCUGC
rnacentral:rRNA from 1 species